CAGCGAAGAGUGGAGGAAACAGUGUGACCAUUAUAGAAAUCCUGACUACCAGUAAUGCCAUUCUCACAAGAUAAUCAACUUAAGUACAGCCAAAAAGGACAAAAUUUUCAUAGCUGUAAUCAGAAAAACUUGUCUUCAUUUACCUUGGAGAAGUUAUGC